UACGGAGGGUGCAAGCGUUAUCCGGAUUUAUUGGGUUUAAAGGGUGCGUAGGCGGCUAUUUAAGUCAGUGGUGAAAUCCUGCAGCUCAACUGUAGAACAGCCAUUGAAACUGAAUAGCUUGAGUAAUCUUGAGGUAGGCGGAAUGUGUAGUGUAGCGGUGAAAUGCUUAGAUAUUACACAGAACACCGAUUGCGAAGGCAGCUUACUAAGGAUUUACUGACGCUGAUGCACGAAAGCGUGGGGAUCAAACAGG
rnacentral:rRNA from 2 species